UGGAGGGCAAGUCUGGUGCCAGCAGCCGCGGUAAUUCCAGCUCCAAUAGCGUAUAUUAAAGUUGUUGCAGUUAAAAAGCUCGUAGUUGAAUUUCGGGGUUCUACCGUUGGUCGGGCUUUGUCUGUACUGGUGUGUAGAAUUUCUACCUUCUGGGGAACCAUCAUGCUAUUAAUUUAGCGUGGUGGGAAACCAGGACCUUUACCUUGAAAAAAUUAGUGUGUUCAAAGCAGGCUUAUGUCUGAAUACAUUAGCGUGGAAUUAUAGAAUAGGACGGUGGUCCUGUUUUGUUGGUUUCUGAAUCACCGUAAUGAUUAAUAGGGAUAGUUGGGGGCAUUAGUAUUCAAUUGUCAGAGGUGAAAUUCUUGGAUUUAUUGAAGACUAACUUCUGCGAAAGCAUUUGCCAAGGAUGUUUUCAUUAAUCAAGAACGAAAGUUAGGGGAUCGAAGACGAUCAGAUACCGUCGUAGUCUUAACCAUAAACUAUGCCGACUAGGGAUCGGACGAUGUUAAUUUUUCUUGACUCGUUCGGCGCCUUACGGGAAAC
rnacentral:rRNA from 1 species